rnacentral:rRNA from 1 species
AUUGAACGCUGGCGGCAGGCCUAACACAUGCAAGUCGAGCGAGCGGCGGACGGGUGAGGAAUGUAUGGGGACUGCCCGAUAGAGGGGGAUAACUACUGGAAACGGUAGAUAAUACAGCAUACUAUCGGAUAACCCAUAUGGGAUUAGCUAGUAGGUGAGGUAAUGGCUCACCUAGGCGACGAUCCCUAGCUGGUCUGAGAGGAUGAUCAGCCACCCGGUGACUGAGACACGGCCCAGACUCCUCCGGCGGCAGCAGUGGGGAAUAUUGCACAAUGGGCGCAAGCCUGAUACAGCCAUGCCGCGUGUAUGAAGAAGGCCUUCGGGUUGUAAAGUACUUUCAGCGGGGAGGCGUUACCCACAGAAGAAGCACCGGCUAACUCCGUGCCAGCAGCCGCGGUAAUAC